rnacentral:rRNA from 1 species
CAGUAGCCACGGGAAAACCAGCACCUCGAGUGGUCAGGAGGUUUAUUGGGCCUAAAGCAUCCGUAGCCGGUUGCAUAAGUUUUCGGUUAAAUCUAUGCGCUUAACGUAUAGGCCGCCGAAAAUACUGUGCAGCUAGGGAGUGGGAGAGGUACACGGUACUCGAUAGGAAGGGGUAAAAUCCUUUGAUCUAUUGAUGACCACCUGUGGCGAAGGCGGUGUACCAGAACACGUUCGACGGUAAGGGAUGAAAGCUGGGGGAGCAAACCGGAUUAGAUACCCCGUAGUCCCUGUCUCUUAUACA